rnacentral:rRNA from 1 species
UACGUAGGGGGCCAGCGUUGCUCGGAAUUACUGGGCGUAAAGGGUUCGUAGGUGGUGCGGCAAGUUGGGAGUGAAAUCUCUGGGCUUAACUCAGAGGCUGCUUUCAAAACUGCCGUGCUCGAGUGCGAGAGAGGUCAGUGGAAUUGCAGGUGUAGCGGUGAAAUGCGUAGAUACCUGCAGGAACACCCGUGGCGAAGGCGGCUGACUGGAUCGCAACUGACACUGAGGAACGAAAGCUAGGGGAGCAAACAGG